rnacentral:rRNA from 1 species
GGCUCAGAUUGAACGCUGGCGGCAUGCCUUACACAUGCAAGUCGAACGGCAGCACGGGGGCAACCCUGGUGGCGAGUGGCGAACGGGUGAGUAAUAUAUCGGAACGUACCCUGGAGUGGGGGAUAACGCAGCGAAAGUUGCGCUAAUACCGCAUACGAUCUACGGAUGAAAGUGGGGGAUUCGCAAGGACCUCAUGCUCGUGGAGCGGCCGAUAUCUGAUUAGCUAGUUGGUGGGGUAAAGGCCUACCAAGGCAUCGAUCAGUAGCUGGUCUGAGAGGACGACCAGCCACACUGGAACUGAGACACGGUCCAGACUCCUACGGGAGGCAGCAGUGGGGAAUUUUGGACAAUGGGGGCAACCCUGAUCCAGCAAUGCCGCGUGAGUGAAGAAGGCCUUCGGGUUGUAAAGCUCUUUUGUCGGGGAAGAAACGGUUGU